rnacentral:rRNA from 1 species
UACGAAGGGGGCGAGCGUUGUUCGGAAUUACUGGGCGUAAAGGGCGCGUAGGCGGCCCUCUUUGUCGCGUGUGAAAGCCCCGGGCUCAACCUGGGAACGGCGCGCGAAACGGGGGGGCUGGAGUUCGGGAGAGGAGCGUGGAAUUCCCAGUGUAGAGGUGAAAUUCGUAGAUAUUCGCAAGAACACCAGUGGCGAAGGCGGCUCACUGGCCCGAUACUGACGCUGAGGUGCGAAAGCGUGGGGAGCAAACAGG